UGGGGAAUAUUGCACAAUGGGCGAAAGCCUGAUGCAGCAACGCCGCGUGAGGGACGACGGCCUUCGGGUUGUAAACCUCUUUUAGCAAGGAAGAAGCGAAAGUGACGGUACUUGCAGAAAAAGCGCCGGCUAACUACGUGCCAGCAGCCGCGGUAAUACGUAGGGCGCAAGCGUUAUCCGGAAUUAUUGGGCGUAAAGAGCUCGUAGGCGGUUUGUCGCGUCUGCUGUGAAAACCCGAGGCCCAACCUCGGGCCUGCAGUGGGUACGGGCAGACUAGAGUGCGGUGGGGAGAUUGGAACUCCUGGUGUAGCGGUGGAAUGCGCAGAUAUCAGGAAGAACACCGAUGGCGAAGGCAGAUCUCUGGGCCGUAACUGACGCUGAGGAGCGAAAGGGUGGGGAGCAAAACAGGCUUAGAUACCCUGGUAGCCCACCCNUAAACGUUGGGAACUAGUUGUGGGGUCCAUUCCACGGAUUCCGUGACGCAGCUAACGCAUUAAGUUCCCCGCCUGGGGAGUACGGCCGCAAGGCUAAACUUAAAGGAAUUGACGGGGUCAUAGCUGUUUCCU
rnacentral:rRNA from 1 species